GUGCCAGCAGCCGCGGUAAUACGUAGGGGGCGAGCGUUAUCCGGAUUUACUGGGCGUAAAGAGCGCGUAGGCGGUUCCGUAAGUUGGUUGUGAAAGUUCGAGGCUCAACCUCGAAACUGCGUCCAAUACUGCGGGGCUUGAGUGCAAGAGAGGCAAGUGGAAUUUGCAGUGUAGUAGUGAAAUGCGUAGAUAUUGCAAGGAACACCAGUGGCGAAGGCGGCUUGCUAGCUUGUAACUGACGCUGAGGCGCGAAAGCUAGGGGAGCGAACGGGAUUAGAUACCCCCGUAGUCC
rnacentral:rRNA from 1 species